rnacentral:rRNA from 1 species
AACGAACGCUGGCGGCAUGCCUAACACAUGCAAGUCGAACGGGAUCCUGGCUUCGGUCAGGUGAGAGUGGCGGACGGGUGAGUAACGCGUGGGAACCUGCCCAGUGGUGGGGGAUAACUGCGGGAAACUGCAGCUAAUACCGCAUGAGCCCGAGAGGGAAAGAUUUAUCGCCAUUGGAGGGGCCCGCGUUCGAUUAGGUAGUUGGUGAGGUAACGGCUCACCAAGCCGACGAUCGAUAGCUGGUCUGAGAGGAUGAUCAGCCACACUGGGACUGAGAUACGGCCCAGACUCCUACGGGAGGCAGCAGUGGGGAAUAUUGGACAAUGGGGGCGAACCCUGAUCCAGCAAUGCCGCGUGAGUGAUGAAGGCCUUCGGUUGGUAAAGCUCUUUUGGCGGGGACGGAUGAUGACGGUACCCGGCAGAAUAAGCCCCGGCUAACUUCGUGCCAGCAGCCGC